rnacentral:ncRNA from 1 species
GCAGAGUAGGCACAUAUGUGUUUGCGGUCUUUGUUGGUUUCUUUCAACCAGCCGCACCAGUACCAGUGAGACGGGGAGUUGCUCACUGGGCGAAUGGGUUCCCACCCGACAGUAUGUGUGCCGCAUCCCGCUGC